rnacentral:pre_miRNA from 1 species
AGCCUUCUGUAUCCAUGCUGAGAUUUCAUCACACCAGACAACAAGGGCUGAUAAGACUCCCAAGAUAAGUGAAGCG